AGCCCUUAAACCUCGAGUUGUUCUGAGGGAGGUGUUACACGAGUACAGUGUGGCAGGUUUGGCACCUUCAUUUUCCAGAAACUGGUAAUUUUGUUAGAUCUGAAAUGUUUUUUACAAGGGCACAUCUGCAGUGCUUUUUACAAGGGUCAACCUCAUCAAACUGGUCAGCUACAAACAGCAGAAUUUCAGCUUCAGUUUCUGAACCCCAUGACUGGAUUGAUUUGGGGUUUCAUGCUUGGAUGCUGGGCCAGGCAACCCAGCAAGUCUUUGCUACAAAGCCAUAUGGAACUCCAGAACUGCUGUUUGAUGUUUCUCAUGGGAACCUGAGCGGCAGAAGUCAGCCUGGAGGAUGCAACCCUGUGGAGAUCACAAUGACUUUCCAGCUCAGAAACACCUUCCCUUCUGUUGCAAAAACGCUUUGAAUGCGACAAAUGGUAUUUCAGUUCUGGGAGAGGUUGGGUGGGAGCUGAUGCAAAUUUUAUUGUCACAAUUGCUUGUCUCUCCCUUCCUGAAAGCUCUGGCAGCAUUGCACAAGCAAAAUUGCCCUCACAAGGAUAGAAAAUUAUCUAAUAGGGGAAUUGCGCUGGUGCACCGGGCAAACGUUACGGUGAUCUUAAAUAAUAAUUUCAAACCCUAAGCACAGGAAAUUGUGUCUGUAACUACACCCUGUAUUGCUAUUGUACACAAAGGCAGUUAUAGCCCAGGACAGUAUUUAAAAUAAUAAUCAGUUUAGGAUGACAAUGCUUAGUAUUUGUUCAAGUCUAAAUGCCCAAUUUACGAUUCCCCAGUCACCAACGUGAUGUGACUUGUACGUGAUCGUGGGUCUAAUACCAGAAUUUGCAAAGAAACUAAAGAAAGAGGGAGAGAAAGAAAGGGUAGAUUCAUGGACUUGUGUUCAAGAAUUAUGUUCCUCUGCCUUGGACACUCGGGAGAGCUCCUGUUACCAAACAACGAAUGUACAACAUUACUGCAGCUCAACAGAACAGGAACUGGGCUCAGAGUACGGAAUGAAGAAAGGCUUGAGAGUCUCAUCAGGAUCCGGAAGGGUCAGGCCAGGAACAAGCCCUCUGGAAUAUCCCGUAUUCUUGCCUCAGCUUUGCUUAUCCGGAGCCAAAGUCCAGGGCUAAUGCUCCUUUAAUCUGAUGUGGAGGUUGUUGCAUAUUAUUAGCAGGUUUCACCUGAUUUGUUUUUACAAUGGGCUCUGAAAUAAGAACAGAACAAUAUUGGCAGCCAUCUUUUUGCAUAUGUAUUUCCAAUACCUCUGAUGCCUGUAAGCUGUAGGGAAUUUUUAGCUAUAUCAGUAUAAAUCUUUGUCAAUUACAAAGGGCUUUGAUAUGUAAAAGUACAUUAACAUACCAAGAAUUGCACUGUAUGAUGUGAAACAUUAUAUAAAUCCUGGAAAAGUUCUAUGUGUAGACUAUAUCUUACAGACUAAACCACAUGGGAGAACAAUGGUCUUAAACUGCAGAAUCAACUUGAAUUUUUGGCUUUUAUUCAGGUUGUUGAUGUCACUAUUAACAUGACAGAGGACCUAAUCCUUCCUCUUGUGAGCAGGCAGUUGGAGUCCUAUUGUCCUAACUCCUACACCCAAAAAUUUGCAUUUGUGGCAAACAUGGUGUUUUUGAAAAGCGCUUAUUUUUGUGUUGAUUGCUUCACUUCUUCACUUUCUGUGCUUUGCAGACUAAGAGAAAAAUGUAUUAAACUUUAAAAACAGAGGAAAAGAAGAAAGAGAACACAAAGAACAGGACAGCAAAUGGGCACUGCAAAAAGUCAUGGAGGGAUAGCAGAGCUUUACACAAGUACCUUGUUGAAAGACAGAGAUUUGUAUAAAUAUGUAAGUCUUGUUUCUGAUACAUCCUUGCCUGUAUCCUCAGGUUUUUUCCUAUAAAAUACCUAAGUCUCCAGGUUAAGAUCAGUGUUAGAUCUCACCUCGUAUUUCUUCUCCUUUUCUGUUUCCCAGGAACCAGUUAGCUCAGUGAAAGGCAGGAGCUGAAUUUCAUACAUCCUUUGCAAUCUGACUGAAAUCAAAUGGCCAUUUGGGAUUUGCAGAGGCAGUGCCCCUCUGCUUUUGGAAGUUAGAAAGCAUUCAGCCACAGUCUACUCUAGAAGAGCUUUAUGGGUAAGAAUUGUCUGAUCCCACAAGCUAGCUCUGGCUUCAUGUGGUGAGAUGUCUGUGUCUCUGAAUCAAACCAUGAUCAUUUUUCCUCAUCUUCUGUGUAAUGGAAGAGCUGAAAUCCCACUAUACUUCACAUCAUGUAACUCAAGAGCUCUCCUUAGUUAAGAGUGCUGGAGGCAGAUGCACUGGUCAUGAGAAUUGGCUUAGUCUCCUGGAAUCAAUGGGGUAUGUCAUGCAUGACCAUCUGAGUUGCCACUUCUGUUUUGAUUUUAGCUAGACAGAGACAAAGAAAAUGUCAUUCUUUGCCUACCAGCUGAUGGUGCUUGAAAGAAUGACCUUUGCUGUCACCCAAGCAAACAGCUUUUCAGUCAUCACUCUGGCUUCUAAAACAAAUUUGUAAAGAAACAUUCUGGUCUCUUAGCCAUUUUCCUGGAAGUAUUUUUCAUAAGAAAAUCCAGUGACUGGGGCAGUCAUUGCCUGAUCUGGAACAAAACUGGUACAGCUUAGAUUUAAUGAAAUCCAGGCUUGAAGCAAACGAGGUUUGAAGAUGGUCAAGUUAUUGCUAAUGUUUCAGCUCUUACAAGCUGAGUGAUUACAUGUAAUAGGAUCAACACCUUCAGCUGCCUUUUAAAAUUAGGAAAAAAAACCCCAACAACCAAUAAACCAAACUUUUCUUCCCUUGGCAAAGGUAUUUCAGUACCUGCAUCACAGCAGCUGGAACAUGGCAGUGCCAGCCCAGCGCCUUGUUCCGAAUCCCCAGCGCCGCAGGGCUGCCCACGCGGCACCCUUUGCACAGCACCAAGGUCCCGUUGGCCUCCUGCAGGGACACCAAUUUUGGAUAUUUUUGAGCGCCAUCUACUGGAGUUUUACCUGGUUUAUCCCUGCACACAAACUGUGCUGCCUAUGUAUUCAUAGAUACAUAAUACAGACAGAUAAGAGGUUUGAAGGAUUUCAAAUUGAGGAGGAGAAUGAGAAAGUAAGACUUAAGCACCGCAGUGCUCCCACGACUGAUGGGCAUCCCUACAGUGUCACAGCAAGCUCCCAGGUUUUCAUGGUUCUGAUAUUCCACUAUUUCCAAAUGCUGGAGUUACAGCUGGUCUGAAACUCCCAAGGGAAUAGUCUUCCACUGGAAUAUGAUGAUCUGAUUAACUCCAAACUUUUCACAGAAAUGUAAGAAUUUUGUUGCUUAUUCAUUUUUCCAGGAAAUUGUAAUCAUGAAGCAUGUUGCAUUUU